GAGGGUAUAGCUUAAGUGGUAGAGCACAUGCUUUGCAUGCAUGAGGUCCUAGGUUCAAUCCCAAGUACUUCCU
rnacentral:tRNA from 1 species